AUUGAACGCUGGCGGCAGGCCUAACACAUGCAAGUCGAACGGUAACACGAAACAGCUUGCUGUUUCGCUGACGCGUGUCGGACGGGUGUGUAAUGUCUGGCAAACUGUCCUUUUUCGUGGGAUAACUCCUGGAAACGGUAGCUAUUACCGCAUAUCGUCCCAAGACCAAAAAGCGGGACCUUUUCGCCCCUUGCCCUCUUAUGUGCCCCGAUGGGAUUAGCUAUUAUGUGGGGUAUCGGGUCACCUAGGCGACGCUCUCUAGCUGGUCUGUGAGGAUGACAAGCCAAACUAGAACUGAGAAACGGGCCAGAAUCCUACGGGAGGCAGCAGUGGGGAAUAUUGAACAAUGGGCGCAAGCCUGAUGCAGCCAUGCCGGGUGGAUGAAGAAGGCCUUCGGGUUGUAAAGUACUUUCAGCGGGGAGGAAGGGAGUAAAGUUAAUACCCUUACUCAUUGACGUUACCCGAAGAAGAAGCACCGGAUAACUCCGU
rnacentral:rRNA from 1 species